CAAGGAGACCGAGAUGGUGAUGUGACGCCUACAUAACCCUCAUGGGGAUGAGCCUCCCCGUACCCACUGGUCUAAGUUACCGGUAUAUGUAGUGUGGCAAAUUCCUACAUAACAAACCCCUAAACCUUUGAAGAUCACAUAAACAAUGUGGAAGGACACAAUGUGGAAGGACAAGAGCCCCGGAGUUAAGAUUCUCUGGGUAUGGACCAUCGGAACUGCCGCCGUGCUUGUUGCAAAUGUAGCCACAAGUAGAGUAAGUGACAUGAACAAGAUCAUCAAUGUCCCUGAAGAAUCUUCGUCUCCUCCUGUUGAUCAACAAACAACGGACUCCAUCAUAACUGGUACGGUUCUAGAUUCAAGCUUAGAGAAAGAAAACUGACAAGCUAAGUUUUUUUUUUAAAGAUUUUGUAUGUUGAAGAGUUUUAUAUUUUGGAAUUUGAUUGUUGAAUUGGAAUAUGGGUUGGAUCUAUGCAUCAUGUGUGAUUGUGUAGUCUUUUGUUUUGUUAUGAUCUGGGUGCAUGUCAGGUGUUCGAUGAAAUGUCUGAGAGAGGGUUAUAUGUAUGUAUGUAUUAGUCAGGGUAACAAUAUUGUUUGAUGAAUUAUGUGUUUUGACUUU